CUCAGUUAUAUGAACCCAUCAGUUCAGACAAGCGUGCUGUUUCGCUACAGACAUCAAUAUUCUGCUCAUCUAUCAUCAUGUCCGAGUCCUAAUAUAUAUGAAAAAGCUGGAAUAUUUCGGUCACUUCAGUUCUAUAGAGUUCCACAUUGCUCGGUUUGGGCUUUCAUAGUGAUCGAUGACCAUUUUGCAGGUGCAGGAAUCGGAUGCAGGGAGGAAGAGGAGGAUGAAGAGGCUCGCAGAACCAUCAUCUGCUUUCUUUGGACACAUUGGUUGAGGAAGAUCUAUUGCUUCUUUUUAACCAUGGCACGUUCUAGAAAACCUGAUUCUGAUUGGCCAUUCUUGGUAUCCUGUGGCCAGGUGUUUCCUAAUACUUUAAAGAUCACUUCCGGCGCUUUCCGUGCUUGCGCAGUCUAACAAGCCAGAGAGCGCACACAUCACACACCAGGAAGCACGCGUGCCCUCAGAUCACUUGGACAUGGUUGUGUACAGGAGAUAUUCAUACAGGUUUGGAACAACUUGAAGGGGAAUAAACAAUGAUGACGGAAUGGUAAUUUUAAAGCUUCUUCAUGGAACCAUAGAUGCCAAGAAAGAACCGCCAACCUUCCUCUCCAACAAGAUCACGUCACCUUAGAUUAGUUGAUGGAUUCAUUGCGUCACAUGAAAGACCAUCUGGGCAGCAGCUAAAUAGACCACCGCAGCCAGCACACUAACAAUCUCUCUGCUCUCAUUUUGCCCUCUCUGAUCAUCUUGACUUGAUUUCAAGACCUGUUUUGUUUUUUUCUAAACUCAGUGAGCUAUGAGAUUCCAGAGCCUUCAUCAAAACCAUAAAUGGCUUCUGAUGGCAUUCACGCUCUUGCGUUAGUUGCUUUUAUUAUGUGUAUUAUUAGGCUGAACGGAUGAUUUGCAAUUAAUACUAUUCAGAGUAGGAAGGAAAGAGGAGGUGGAGGAGAAGACCGAGAGAUAAAAAUACUCCUCCUAUUUAUAAGAGCCGGAAUUCUAAUCCAGGAGGAAUGACGUAUCAGUCCAACCCAUUAACAGACCAGAGGAUCCAAGCAUCACUUUUUUUUUUGCCUUUUUCUUAUAUCUCAUCAUCUAUUCUUAUUUUUCUUUUAUAGGAUCAGUGACAUUCACUUUGAAGCGUUCACAUCUCAGAGAUGAAAUGCAUGAGUGGAUUUCACACUUUUCUGCAGUGAAAUUAAACAAAAACAUGCAAAUGUCUGUUCUUAAUAAACUUUCACCAGUCUUCCUCUGCUUCUAUAUUUUAACUGUCUCUCCCUCUCCCUCCUCAUCAUGCUGCCCGGUCUCUUUUAUCUGCUAACCCAGUUGUUCUGAACAAAAGUAGAAACCUUGAGGGGAAGUGGGCCAGUAGUGCAGGCAGGACUGUGUGUGUGUGUGUGUGUAUUUUUCAUUUUGCGCCAUACAGUACAUCUCAGUGGUGUCCCAUUCAUCUAUUCAUACUUGGAAUUGUGUGUCGUAAUGCAUGCAACAUAAAAUGUGAGGGCCAUUCUGUGCUUUUAUUUGUGUCUGUGCAUGCAUGCAAUAAAACGGCUUGACAAA